GACGAACGCUGGCGGCGCGCCUAACACAUGCAAGUCGAACGAGCGAGAGAGAGCUUGCUUUCUCAAGCGAGUGGCGAACGGGUGAGUAACGCGUGAGGAACCUGCCUCAAAGAGGGGGACAACAGUUGGAAACGACUGCUAAUACCGCAUAAGCCCACAGGUCGGCAUCGACCAGAGGGAAAAGGAGCAAUCCGCUUUGAGAUGGCCUCGCGUCCGAUUAGCUAGUUGGUGAGGUAAUGGCCCACCAAGGCGACGAUCGGUAGCCGGACUGAGAGGUUGAACGGCCACAUUGGGACUGAGACACGGCCCAGACUCCUACGGGAGGCAGCAGUGGGGAAUAUUGCACAAUGGGGGAAACCCUGAUGCAGCGACGCCGCGUGGAGGAAGAAGGUCUUCGGAUUGUAAACUCCUGUUGUUGAGGAAGAUAAUGACGGUACUCAACAAGGAAGUGACGGCUA
rnacentral:rRNA from 1 species